rnacentral:rRNA from 1 species
GUUAGGAAUUUUGCACAAUGGGCGAAAGCCUGAUGCAGCAACGCCGCGUGGACGAUGAAGGCCUUCGGGUCGUAAAGUCCUUUUCAACGGGAAGAAACGGACGGUACCGUUGGAAUAAGCAUCGGCUAACUACGUGCCAGCAGCCGCGGUAAUACGUAGGAUGCAAGCGUUAUCCGGAUUUACUGGGCGUAAAGAGCAUGUAGGCGGUCUCGUAAGUUGGACGUGAAAGCCCCCGGCUUAACUGGGGAGGGUCGUUCAAUACUGCGGGACUUGAGGGUGGAAGAGGAGACUGGAAUUCCCGGUGUAGUGGUGAAAUGCGUAGAUAUCGGGAGGAACACCUGUGGUGAAGACGGGUCUCUGGGCCACUUCUGACGCUGAGAUGCGAAAGCGUGGGGAGCGAACGGAAUUAGAAACCCUAGUAGUCC